AAGCACUGUUUUUGAACCCGUUUGGUCUGACCCGUGACCAAAUGGGCCAAGCUACAGUGAUAAAGCAAAAAGCAGGCUUGUUCAUAACUGGGGCCUCUUGGCCGUUCUCCUCGUGACCCUUUUAAAAGCAAGCCACACGU